rnacentral:rRNA from 1 species
GACGAACGCUGGCGGCGUGCUUAACACAUGCAAGUCGAACGGAAAGGCCCUGCUUUUGUGGGGUGCUCGAGUGGCGAACGGGUGAGUAACACGUGAGUAACCUGCCCUUGACUUUGGGAUAACUUCAGGAAAAUGGGGCUAAUACCGGAUAGGAGCUCCUGCUGCAUGGUGGGGGUUGGAAAGUUUCGGCGGGUGGGGAUGGACUCGCGGCUUAUCAGCUUGUUGGUGGGGUAGUGGCUUACCAAGGCUUUGACGGGUAGCCGGCCUGAGAGGGUGACCGGCCACAUUGGGACUGAGAUACGGCCCAGACUCCUACGGGAGGCAGCAGUGGGGAAUAUUGCACAAUGGGCGGAAGCCUGAUGCAGCAACGCCGCGUGCGGGAUGACGGCCUUCGGGUUGUAAACCGCUUUCGCCUGUGACGAAGCGUGAGUGACGGUAAUGGGUAAAGAAGCACCGGCUAACUACGUG